AAGACCUUGCGCUUUUGGAGCGGCCGAUGCCUGAUUAGCUUGUUGGUAAGGUAAAAGCUUACCAAGGCUUCGAUCAGUAGCUGGUCUGAGAGGACGGCCAGCCACACUGGGACUGAGACACGGCCCAGACUCCUACGGGAGGCAGCAGUGGGGAAUUUUGGACAAUGGGGGCAACCCUGAUCCAGCCAUGCCGCGUGAGUGAAGAAGGCCUUCGGGUUGUAAAGCUCUUUCAGCCGGAACGAAACUGUUACGGUUAAUACCCGUGAUUACUGACGGUACCGGAAGAAGAAGCACCGGCUAACUACGUGCCAGCAGCCGCGGUAAUACGUAGGGUGCGAGCGUUAAUCGGAAUUACUGGGCGUAAAGCGUGCGCAGGUGGUUUUGUAAGUCAGAUGUGAAAGCCCCGGGCUCAACCUGGGAACU
rnacentral:rRNA from 1 species